AGUGAACGCUGGCGGCAGGCCUAAUACAUGCAAGUCGAACGGCAGCACAGCAGAGCUUGCUCUGUGGGUGGCGAGUGGCGGACGGGUGAGGAAUACAUGGGAAUCUGCCCAGUCGUGGGGGAUAACGUAGGGAAACUUACGCUAAUACCGCAUGCGCCCUUCGGGGAAAGCCGGGGACCUUCGGGCCUGGCGCGAUUGGAUGAGCCCAUGUCGGAUUAGCUAGUUGGCGGGGUAAUGGCCCACCAAGGCGACGAUCCGUAGCUGGUCUGAGAGGAUGGAUCAGCCACACUGGAACUGAGACACGGUCCAGACUCCUACGGGAGGCAGCAGUAGGGAAUAUUGGACAAUGGGCGCAAGCCUGAUCCAGCCAUGCCGCGUGAGUGAAGAAGGCCCUCGGGUUGUAAAGCUCUUUUGUCCGGAAAGAAAAGCGCCGGGUUAAUACCCGUGGUGUCCUGACGGUACCGGAAGAA
rnacentral:rRNA from 1 species